GACGAACGCUGGCGGCGUGCCUAAUACAUGCAAGUAGAACGCUGAAGGCGGAGCUUGCUUCUCUGGAUGAGUUGCGAACGGGUGAGUAACGCGUAGGUAACCUGCCUCGUAGCGGGGGAUAACUAUUGGAAACGAUAGCUAAUACCGCAUAACAGUAGAUGUUGCAUGAUAUUUGCUUGAAAGGUGCAUUUGCAACACUACCAGAUGGACCUGCGUCGUAUUAGCUAGUUGGUGAGGUAAAGGCUCACCAAGGCGACGAUACAUAGCAGACAGGAGAGGGGGAGCAGCCACACUGAGAGGGAGACACGGCACAGAGUGCCUCGGGAAGGAGCAGGAGGGAAUCGGGGGCAAGGGACGGGAGACAGAGCGAGAAAGGCGGAGGGAUGGAACAAGGAUGUCGGGUCGGAGAGGUCGGUCGUAAGGUUAGAACGAGCGUGAGGGAGGAAAGAUCACAAUGUGACGGUACCUGAAGAGAAAGCGCCGGCUAACUACGUG
rnacentral:rRNA from 1 species